CCCAAAGCGUGAGUGCCGCUCGCGACCUGCCUGCCUGCCUCGCUUCCAUCCCAAUUCCCAACCCUAGCGGCACUGCGGCGGUGGUACCUGCACACGCCGGCAGGGGCAGGGGCGCAGGACGCGCAGGAGCCGAGUCGCGCAGCCGCGCACCGCCUGCUCCACUCCCUGCCUCCCUUCUGCGGUUCUGCCUUGCUCGGCGAGCGGCGGCCGUCGAGCCGGCCAGGCGUAGCGCAACUCCGUAGCAGCGCAGGCAGGUGGCUGCAUGCAGCGCAGCUCCGUAGCAGCGCAGGCGUCUGCGUCCGGCGACCAGCGAGCGGCGCUGCGUAUCAAUUGCAGAAUUGCUAGGAACAAAAUAAACAAGGAUCUACACUCCGCCUCGCCAAUGGACAUCUCUGGCCUCCUGUACAGCGACGCCAGCGGCCGGCACGACCGCACAAGCGUCAGACUACCUCGACAGCAAGUUCUUUUUUUGUUGGAACUGAUUCAUUUUGGUUGGAAUCCUUUAGAUGAGUUUCUACUGAUAAAUGUUUAGAGUUUUAUUAGGAUUUAUUGGCUGAUGAAGAAUCUCUGAAAAAGUGGUAUAUAUGGCAGAGUCACUCUUUUCCAAUGUGCAUUGACUAUAUGGUUCAUAAUGCAGGCUUCGAAAGUCCUGUAUAUAACUAUAUAUCAUCUUAUUUUUCUUACUGCUUAGUUUAACUCCCUUCUUGACCAAUCAACAUCGUGUAGUUCUAUUGUUACUAAUUUGCUAUGAAUACUAUCUGUGAGAUAUGUAUUGCUGCUUUUAGUCUUAUUGUCCCAUAAUCAGUCUGUGUUGUUUGAAGCUGAACUGAUGCCAUGUCUGAAAAUUUGGUACCCUUUUCUAAUGCAUAUGUUCAGUCAAUCUUACAUAGGCUAUUUUGUAACUUAAUUAUCCUAUGCCGUCACUGAUCCAGUCUAAACUUGUUUGAUUGUCUCUGCUGCUUGCAUUGUUGAUAGGCCACUAGGAUUUAAUUCAAAUCUUUUGUUAAUUAAGAUGUGAUGCACAGUUGAACCAAGCUCAUAUAUUAUUUCUGCUGCCAUUGCAUCAGGAUCUUAUAACCUUUUUGCCCUUGCUACCUCACAUUCAUACUACUAGUCUACGCUUUGCCUUGAGACUAGCUAACUUUGUUCAACAGCCUUAAGAAACAGGUGCCACAAUCCCAAUUUUGCUUAUCUUUUGUUGUUUGCUGUACAUGGGGAUCAAGAGGCAAAGGACUUCAUGGAAAAGAUAGAAGUAGUUAUAUAUGUCAGAUUAUGAAGCCACUUUGUUGUACAUAUAUGUUUGUAUAUGCAUUGACUCACUACAAAUUAUGGAGUGCUAGGAGUUUGUCAUAUUUAUUGAUACAAUUCGGUGUACGCCAACGAUAUUGCUGCUAAUUGUUUGAAUAAUGUGAUAUGGGAUGCUUCUCCAAAUAUAAUUCAUUAAUAUAAG